CCUACGGGAGGCAGCAGUGAGGAAUAUUGGUCAAUGGGCGCGAGCCUGAACCAGCCAAGUCGCGUGAGGGAAGACGGCCCUACGGGUUGUAAACCUCUUUUGCCGGGGAGCAACGGGCGCCACGUGUGGCGCCACUGAGAGUACCCGUAGAAAAAGCAUCGGCUAACUCCGUGCCAGCAGCCGCGGUAAUACGGAGGAUGCGAGCUUUAUCCGGAUUUAUUGGGUUUAAAGGGUGCGUAGGGGGAGCGUUAAGUCAGUGGUAAAAUUUGGGGGCUCAACCCCUUCCCGCCAUUGAAACUGGCGCUCUUGAGUGGAAGAGAAGUAUGCGGAAUGCGUGGUGUAGCGGUGAAAUGCAUAGAUAUCACGCAGAACCCCGAUUGCGAAGGCAGCAUGCCGGCUUCCUACUGACGCUGAAGCACGAAAGCGUGGGGAUCGAACAGGAUUAGAUACCCCAGUAGUC
rnacentral:rRNA from 1 species